GUCUACACCAGAGUCGGAUAAAAGUCUUUCUGGGUGCUGGGGCUGUGUGGUGAGGGGUGUUGCUCUCUAAUUGAUUUUCUUUAUCUCUGAAUCACUCUACCUACCAAGCCUUUCGUUCUGAUUCACCUGCCCCUAACAGAAGAGAGGGGGGAAUAGAUCACAAUAUCUGUUGUUGGCAGCAAGGCACAUUUAGGAGCCGAAGGCAAUUAGCGCCCUGCAAUAAUAAUUAGGCGAAAUACUGCAAAGGAGGAAGAGUGAAGUGGAGGCCUUUAUGCAGACAGCUGAUAAGCAGUAAAUAGAAGAAGUUUUCAGUGGCCUCGCAUCAUGCAUCCACUACAUAGGAACAUAUGUAAGAACAUACACAAGCAUGACCUGAGGGAAUCAGCU
ensembl:lncRNA